rnacentral:rRNA from 1 species
CACAGCGAUGUGAUGCUAAUCUCAACAAGACGAUCGUAGUCCGGAUUGGAGUCUGCAACUCGACUCCAUGAAGUCGGAAUCGCUAGUAAUCGCGGAUCAGAAUGACGCGGUGAAUACGUUCCCGGGCCUUGUACACACCGCCAGUCACACCAUGGGAGUUUGUUGCACCAGAAGUAGCUAGCCUAACUGCAAAGAGGGCGGUUACCACGGUGUUGCCGAUGACUGGGGUGAAGUCGUAACAAGGUAUCCGUAGGGGAACCUGCGGCUGGAUCACCUCCUUA